UACGUAGGGGGCAAGCGUUGUCCGGAUUUAUUGGGCGUAAAGAGCUCGUAGGCGGUUCGGUAAGUCGGAUGUGAAAACUCAGGGCUCAACCCGGAGACGCCAUCCGAUACUGCUGUGACUGGAGUCUGGUAGGGGAUCACGGAAUACCUGGUGUAGCGGUGAAAUGCGCAGAUAUCAGGUGGAACACCGAUGGCGAAGGCAGUGAUCUGGGCCAGUACUGACGCUGAGGAGCGAAAGCGUGGGGAGCAAACAGG
rnacentral:rRNA from 1 species